UAGGUGUUAAGCUAUGGCUUCACAUCUGU
rnacentral:piRNA from 1 species